CUUGAAGUAUUGAGAGCUCAGGAAUCAAUAUGUGGCAGCCAAAGGUUUCUCAUUUUCAUCUUUUAACUGUGAGUUGUAUGUGGUAAGAAAUUGAAUGUUCUUAUUGCGCACCUUCUCCGAUUGCUCUUUUCAGUCUCUUUUUUGGGACUACUACAACCAUGUAAGAAAACAAUAAAAAAUUAUUUCAUGGACUACCUAAUCUUUUCUUUUUAAGACGGUGAAAUUGUCAGAAACUUAAAGUAUUAUAAACAUACCCUUAUAAAGGUGAUUUCAAGCAAGCAUUUAAUGGUAUGGAAAAAUCAAAAAAAAUUGUUAAACCAUUUGAGUAAUGAAAUAACUAAUGAAACCACAUAAUUUAAAUGACAGCAAUUUAUAUCAAGAAUAUUCACCCUAAUCAACUUAGGCAAGGAAACUAAGAAUAGAACUCAUUACAUAUAGUGCUGCUUGUGAAAAAUAUUGUAGGAGUGUUACCUAUGGCUAUCCCAAUGAUUCAGUCUUGAAGGAGCAACAAAUAUCAGUAUUUUUACAUAGAUAAUCCAGAAAGAUGCAUUAUUGACAAAACAUAACACGUCAAAUCACGUAUACAAUGAAAUACAUAAGUAGUUUCACUUCAAUUUUCUCACCUUUUAAAAAUAAGAAAAUUUCUCGGUUAAAAAAUAGAUCAUAAUGUCAAGCAUAAAUUAGAAGUAAAGACAACAUGAUUCACAUAAGUACUAACUUGAACAUCAUUGUAUGCUUUAUUAGAUCAAGUUCUGAAGCAGUCAUCUUACAGGUCACAUAGUGAAAUAUUUGUUGCUCCUUUAUAACCAUGUUCAUCAUAUUGUAUUGUUCCAAUAUAGGUGUGCCAAAUCUAUCUGCAAUAAUCAGAAAUUUUGCAUAUAUGUUCAUGUGAAAGAAAACAUCAACUAACUUCGGAAUAAUUUAGUAAUCAGAAUGCAUGUAGUGAGAAAUUUAAAAGUCGAACAACUUAGAUAAUCCACAACAAAAUUGAUAUUGGAGUUGGCUUCUUCAACCUCUAUUGUGCAGAUUCUUCAGUUAACUUGCCUGUACAUCUUCCACAAAUAUUAUCAAAUCCGAGCUUCAUAUUAUGAUAGAUAUAUACAAUUGUUGGAUUUAUAUGAAUUCAUUAAAAUUAGUGUAGUAAGAAUUUUAUUUCAUUUCUCUCGGACAGUCAAUAAGACGAAGUUGAAAAUGAAAGAUCUUAUCCACCCAAUACUAUUGCACAAAUUACAACUGAAAACAAAUAAUUAAGAACCACCACUAAAGGAAAAUAAAUUUAAAAAAUAUAAUUAAAUCCUCAACAUAGGGGAGUAUUCAAAGUCGAUCAUCUAUUAUAGCUUAAUUCAAACUUCUCGUGAGAUGAAAAUUUAUGGAUGGAAUGAAAGAUAAAUCAAAUAUAAAAUUUGUCAAAUAAAUUGAACACAAUAAAUCACAUCUAUAAAAGAACCAAGAUCAACAAAUAAUGAAUAGGAAGAAAGUAAAAUAGAAUGAAAGCAACUAUCAUGUAAAAAUCACAACAACAAAAUACUCAAGAAGUGAUAUGUGGUUUACCAAGCAGAUGAUAUGUGAAGAAAAUAAAGAUGACCGAGGCCAUCGUCAAUAAGCACACAUAACGAACAUGGGAUCUUUUUUCCAGAUUUCUAUAUAACAGAAAUUUAAAGAAAUGUGGAGUUCGUCUUCUUCCAUUUUUCUUUAUAUAUACAUAGAUGUAGAUAUAUAUCAAAGAGGAAGUCAUGAAGGUUAAGACAAAAGUUAACAUAGGAAGACGUGAAAGUUAAUACUAAAAUGGACAUAUAAAAAAUAAUCUUAAUAUGUAGUACUUUUGUACGUUUAUACAUAUAUAGCGAAUCAACUAAUAUUUGCAUUACAUGUUCAAGAAUAUGUAAUUUUCACUGGAUAUAAAUUGAAAAGAGAUCGCCAAAAGAAUGAACCUUAUUUUUCUGUUCAGGUAUCUAACAUGCAAGACUGUUUUUAAUUGAGGCUACUUUCUUGCUUUUUUUCGAAUGAAAGAAGAGGGCUUGAGCAUUUUUGGUAAAGGCUACUGGAGAGAUCGAUGGACCAUCGACACUAACGUAGGAAGAGUAAUGUAGUGAUACAGAGAUGCAAAGAAACAUUUUUCUUUAUAAAUAUAAAUAAAUAAAUAUAUAUAUAUAUAUAUAUAUAUACUUAAUAGUAUCUUCAUGUCGUUCUACCUUACAUGCCCUUCAAAUUUAAUAGACUUUCAACAAGCUCACCACCAAGUUGUUGAAACUCAAGUCUCUGCCAAUGAGCAUUAUACAGACUCCACCUCAAAGAAAUGAUCGAUUGAUGUGGCCGAACAAAUUAUAGCACAAUUAAGAGCUUCAUUAUCAACAUUUAUAAUCACAUUAAAAAACUCAAACAAUUGAAUUAAUCACAAAAUUUUCAUGCAAUUAUAGUUUAAAUUUCCAAAUCAAAUCCAGAUGGAAAAGAAUAUAAAUGUAUGAUUGGUUCGAGACAGUAUUGAUAAAGAGGAAGAAAGAUUAUACCCAUAUGUAUGAUAAGUUCCCUUAAAGAAAUAAUAAAAUUACUAAAAUCAAAACGUCAUUAUUGUGGAGAGUUACAUAUUCAAACUUAAAGGUUAUCUGUUAAGAAAUGAGAAAAUUGUCAAAUGAACCCCUAAUCUAUUAGUCAAUUCUCAACUACACACUUAUAUUUUAUGGGGGUCCUAUUAGCCCCUUAAAUAUUUUAAAAGUGGAAUAUAUUGCCCCUUAAAAGGUCACACUCAAAUUUAUGGUAAGCAAUGUGUUGCACACGCGGUGCCACGUAACAUAGAUGGUACCUUUUUAUAUAAAAAUAUUAUUAUUCUUUUUCUUUAUUCUAUUUCCCUUCUAUGUUUUUUCUUUUCUUUUUCAGCCUGUUUCUUCUUUUCUUUUUCCUUUUUUCUAUCCUUUUCUUUGACUAAAAAUUUUCUGCCAUUGAAGUGGAAAUUCCAAGUUCCAUCUAUAACCUCAAAAAAAUUAGUUUCUUAAUCUAAGUUCCCAAUUUUCUUAUACAACUAUUUCAACAUGCAAUAUUUGGAUCUUUUUCAAAACUAAUUUGUGGGUCUCAUACCAUUGGAUAUUCAUUGGAUUCAAAAACUUCAAUAUCUUGAUUUUGGAGAACAAUUUUAUCAGAGAUAUCCGUCGCCAACCGAAAAUUUGAUGGAGCUAUAGAUCUUAUAUAUGCAUAUGAACUUUAUUUUCCGGUAGAACACAAUAACAUAGCCAAUCUUGAAUAUCUAGGUUCAGUAUUUAAUUGGUUUUCUCUGAUGAGAAUAUUGUUGGAGUUUGGGAAGAUUAAAAAAGAAGAAUGAGAUAUGAAUUUAAUUGGUGAAAUCCUUGAAAGUUUACGAACUUUCGAAGUCUUCAGCAUAUUGAUUCGGCUUACAAUAAUCUAAAAGGAGAAAUUUCAUUUGGGUUGUUUAUGUUAAAGAAUUUUAUAUUGAUAUACUUAUAUAGUAAUCAACUUUUGGAUCUAAUUCGGAUCUGGGUUUCUUCAAUUUUGUGUGCUGUUGUAGUUGAAGUGGAAAAAAUUUAGUUGUUAAAGGUACUAAUUUUGACCUUGAUGGUUUGUUAGUUUUAUUUACUCAACUAGGUUUUCUCUAUAUUGUUCAAUUCGUGUUGUGCUUGAACUUAUGAACACUUGGCUUUGGGAAAGUGUUUAUUUUUAAUUUGAUCCUGUGUUCUUCUAAUUUUUGCAAGUGAAGUCAAUUUCUUUUGAGAAAAAGAAGAAGGAGAUAGCGUCACUAGUAACAAUUAUUAAUAGUGAUGAUUUCAUACUCCUUUUUUUUCAGGGAACUUAAAUUUGGUGGAGUACUGAAGAAAUAGAGAAGAAAGAGAGAGAGAGUAAAAUAAAAAAACAUAAAUAGAGUAAAAGUAAAGUAAAAAUAAAGUAAAAUGAAAAACAUAAAUGAUCAGAAAAUUAAUAUGAAAAAGAAAAGUAAGAAAGUUUGCCUCUCACUCUCUUUAAAAAGGUGAAUUACACUUUCUUUGCCAACUCAGAAUUAGGGAGCAAAUAAUUGUACUAUAAAAUAUUUCAGGGAGAUAAUAGGACCCUCCUAAAAUAUAAGUGUGUAGUUGAGAAUCGACUAAUAGAUUGGAGGGUCAUUUGACCAUUUUCUCGUUAAGAAAUAGAUCUUCAACUUCAUAUUUUUAUGAGAAUGUUAAUUAUUUUUUUAAGAAUGAGAUGUUCGACUUCAUAUGAACAUAUUAAACUCAAAUGCACUACUACCAAUAAAAAAAGUAAAAACAGAAAUGUGACCAAAUAACAAAUCACCACAGGUAAAAAAGAAAAGAACGAUAUUCAUCAGAAAAUAAUCAACAUUAUAUACAUCAAACACAAUUACACAUAGUAACGUACUUUUAUUUUGAUAUUCUUUUACUAUUGAAUUAAGCUAGGUGUACCUGUUGUAUAACAAUUUCUCUGAGAAAUUGAGAGGUUUCUAGGUAUGAAGUUUCAUCAACUUUACUUUCUCCUCAAAGUAAAUGCAAAUGGCCACAUCUGCAAGUAAUAAAUCGACGAAAGAAAUCCUAAAAAUUUCAAUAACCAAGAAUAAAGGGGAAAACAAUUAUUGAAAGAAUAAGAUGUAAAUAAGGGAAGAUGGAGAAAAUGAGGAGAGAAAAAGGACCAACAACCCUUGGAAACAACCCAUGAAACAUGAAUUCAGUGCAUGCAACAACACUACAACCCAAUCACUAAAUAAAGUAGAAAAAUUGAAACAUAAAUCAAGCUAAUCGAAUGGUUAAUCAACAAAAG
rnacentral:lncRNA from 1 species